GAGUUUGAUCCUGGCUCAGGACGAACGCCGGCGGCGUGCCUAAUACAUGCAAGUCGAACGCUUUUUCUUUCACCGGAGCUUGCUCCACCGAAAGAAAAAGAGUGGCGAACGGGUGAGUAACACGUGGGUAACCUGCCCAUCAGAAGGGGAUAACACUUGGAAACAGGUGCUAAUACCGUAUAACACUAUUUUCCGCAUGGAAGAAAGUUGAAAGGCGCUUUUGCGUCACUGAUGGAUGGACCCGCGGUGCAUUAGCUAGUUGGUGAGGUAACGGCUCACCAAGGCAACGAUGCAUAGCCGACCUGAGAGGGUGAUCGGCCACACUGGGACUGAGACACGGCCCAGACUCCUACGGGAGGCAGCAGUAGGGAAUCUUCGGCAAUGGACGAAAGUCUGACCGAGCAACGCCGCGUGAGUGAAGAAGGUUUUCGGAUCGUAAAACUCUGUUGUUAGAGAAGAACAAGGAUGAGAGUAAAAUGUUCAUCCCUUGACGGUAUCUAACCAGAAAGCCACGGCUAACUACGUGCCAGCAGCCGCGGUAAUACGUAGGUGGCAAGCGUUGUCCGGAUUUAUUGGGCGUAAAGCGAGCGCAGGCGGUUUCUUAAGUCUGAUGUGAAAGCCCCCGGCUCAACCGGGGAGGGUCAUUGGAAACUGGGAGACUUGAGUGCAGAAGAGGAGAGUGGAAUUCCAUGUGUAGCGGUGAAAUGCAUAGAUAUAUGGAGGAACACCAGUGGCGAAGGCGGCUCUCUGGUCUGUAACUGACGCUGAGGCUCGAAAGGCGUGGGGAGCGAACAGGAUUAGAUACCCUGGUAGUCCACGCCGUAAACGAUGAGUGCUAAGUGUUGGAGGGUUUCCGCCCUUCAGUGCUGCAGCAAACGCAUUAAGCACUCCGCCUGGGGAGUACGACCGCAAGGUUGAAACUCAAAGGAAUUGACGGGGGCCCGCACAGCGU
rnacentral:rRNA from 1 species